rnacentral:sRNA from 2 species
AUAUCUCUCUGUACGGGAAGGAUGAGAAGCUUCGACUAAGGUUCGAUUCGAGCGCAGCGAGAAAGCGUUGCCGCAGGCAACGACCCGAAGGGCGAAGCGC